rnacentral:rRNA from 1 species
AUGGAGGCCCGACCCAGCAAAACCUUGGAUGAUCCCACGGCCGUCGUGCCCCGCCCUCCCUGGGUGCUGCUCGAUCGGCUCGGCCACCGCGAGGACCAGGCCGACGCCGACGCGGCCACCGUGGCGUCGUCCCGCACCUCCACCGGCACGGUCAUCAGCGUGUCGUUCCGGUUCGCCGCGCCACCGGCGACCUCCCGCCUCUACCUCCGUUGGCCGUCUGGACCGAGCAGGGAGGACUCGUCUUUCGCGUACCCCCGCGUCGUCGCCGCGCACGACGACUCCGUUCUCCUCCAGCUCACCGUUUCCUCCCGCAGCAUCGAUUACUUCCUCUACAAGGCGAGGGGCGCCCGGCCGCCGUCUCUGUCGCUGCUUCCCCGGUCCGCGCUCACCAGGAAGGGCAUCGGCAUCCUGCGCCGCCGCGGCGAGGGCGCGUUCGCCGUGGCCGAGCUCCGCACGGCUGGCGGCGACGGCACGCCGGUGGCGUUCGACCUCUGCGUGCUGCUCUCGCCGGGCCCCGGGCCGUCCGAGUCCGACAAGUGGGAGGUGAGGCGCGUGAAGGUCCUCGACGGCAGGGGCAAGGACCUGGCGCUGCAGUGCUGGGAAACCGACGCCGUCGUGCCCGUCGGCGGCCGGUUCCUGUGCUGGGUCGACUACUACCGUGGCAUCCUGGUCGGCCGCGUGUUCGCCGACGGCGGCUCCGCGCUCACGUACGUGCCGCUGCCCGUCGACACCCCAUGGGCGAAGCCCGACCACGGCCAGGAGUGCCCCGAGGCGUCCCGGAGCGUCUGCGUCACCGCCGGGGACACGGUGAAGUUCGUCAGCGUCGACCGCGGCCUGCUCUUCGUCUUCACCGUCACCAUCUGGACCCUGGGCAAGGCGCGGGACGGCAGCAUGGAGUGGGAGAAGGACGGCGAGUUCCGUGCCGCCGAGCUCUGGGCCUUCUCCGGCUACGAGCACCUCCCGCGUGUCCCGCCGGAGUACCCCGUCGUGAGCAUGGCCGACCCCGACGCGCUCUGCUUCAUGGUGAGCGAGGGACGCCACGGCCACGCUGGUGUCGAAGCCGGGGGAGACGACACGGUGUGGCUGGUCGAGGUCGACACGAGGCGCAGAGCGGUGCGGUCAGUGUCCCGCUUCUCCAAAGAAGAGACGAGGGACAUGUCAGGGCGUGCCUCCCUAAACAUGUUUCAUGGCCAUGCCUUCCUUCCCAGCGAGGUCACCACGUACGUACACGAGCAGUAG